ACUGGUGCCCUAGUCGAAUUAGAACCACACCAAUCCAUCUCGAACUUGGUAGUGAAAUGAGUCGAGGGCAAAAAUACUAGUAGGGUGGCCUGCUGGGAAAAUAGUUUGGUGCCAG
rnacentral:rRNA from 1 species